UUGACAAGCAUAAAUUCCCGACGUCAUUCGAGUUUUUCAAGAAGGCUCUUCCUUCAAAGAAACACAGGAUAAAGUCUCAACGCAAAAAGCCUUCUCAAAAGGAGGAUACUUCAGGAAUGAUGGAAGUGGAAAAUGCAGCUAUGGAUGACCUCGUUUCAGCAGUAUCUAGAUUAAAUACUUCAGACACCGCUCCUUCCUCUAUCAGCUUUGGUCGCCGUAACACCAAAGGCAUGUCAUUUGUCCCUCGAGCUGUUCAGCGUGGGAAGGGAUCUAACUCAGGCUCAUCUGUUACUAAGAAAUAAGCUUACACUUGAAUCAAUCUGCAUUAAUGUGAUUGCUUAAUCAUCAAUCUUCGGAUGCUGUCCCGUUGUAAAAUUGCUCGAUACCAGGGUUGAAGAUCAGAAAAUAGAAUCGUGCUGGAGGAUGUAAUAACAGCAUGCUUUUAUUAUGUAAGUGUCACUAACAUAGGUUUUGAGCCCAUGCAAAUUAUAUAUGCUAAUUAUGUGGAGUUUUUGAGUUUCUAUUUAGAGUGAUGUUGUUCUGUUUAGCUUAUAUUCUCUUUGGUGCAUAACAAGUCUGUUAUUAUAGUUGAAAGAAAUCACUCUUACAGCUUUUUGUAUGUUUGUCUGUCUUUGCAAAUAAAUACCAAGCUUUGCAAAUGGUGCCAUCUUCUUGUUGACAUUUAUUGUGAUUAAUACUCCUGUUAAUUUCAGCAUUCUUAUAUUCUUACAAGAGGUUACAACUAUACUACCUAAUAUGUGUCCAUUCUCAAAUUACUAUAUAUAUUUAUUAUUUUUUAAAUAUAUUCCUAAUUAAUAAGUAUUACUAAUUUAUUUUUCCUUCAAAAAAAAGUAUUACUAAUUUAUUUNGUUGAAACUAUAAACUCAAUCCAUCUAUUUGUUCUUAAUUAACUUAGUUUAAAAGUUUCAGGGAACAUGCAGUAGGUCUGUCUAUGCAUGUUUGACAACUUCUCGCUGCAUUGUUCUCUGAUCCUUCAACUUUGUCCAUGAAUAUCUCAUGGUUCAUUGACACUAUACUAAAUUUUUAUUAGCAAUAGCAACCUGUGAUGUUGCAAUGAUGUUUGUGAUAAUAUAUACAUUUUUCAAUUGAAUGGCACCAGUUAUUCCAAUAAACUCAAAAGUGAGAUUUAGAAAUUGCAUUAUGCUUUUCUUUGAUAAAUCGAUUCAAAGAAAAUCGUACAUAAAACUUUUUACCGCACAUUCAAGAUACAAAUGAAUUGAGGUCAAAUGACAACGUCAAUAUUAUUAGACUAAACACGUUCAUCCGAAAACCCGAGACUUUACCACCGGAGGAUUGGGUAGUUCAACAGAUUUGAGCUGAGAUUAAAAUGUUGAUGAGUUAAAAAUUGAGGCUUUAAAUUUUAACAAAAAGAAAUCAACUUUGCUAUAUCCUACAAACCGAAAAACAAGAAUACAUACAUAUACUUUAUUUAAUAAAAGUCAACAAAAAAAGUCAACCAAAAUUCAGGUGGUUUUCGUUGAAAGAUUAUUCGUAGGAAAAACAUAGUAACAUUUUGCAAUAAAAAAAUUAUUUUAGAGACACCUAAAAAGAACUUACUCAACUUAUGGGAACUAACUUUAACUGGUGUUUUUUUCGUGGUCGUUAAAUUUUAGUGUCAUGUUAACUUGCACCCUUAGGGCACAAGUUAACAUUUGCCAAUAAGAAAUAAAUCUUGUAUUAAAAAAUUUAAUUAUUAAACUUUUACAAUAUUGAAUGCACAAGUUCCAAGAAAAUACUUCUAUCCUUUUCCUUAGCUUUUGAACUUGUGUCUUAAAGGUACAAAUUAACAUUUCCUUAACUUGCGAUGUGUGUUUUAAUUGAAUUUGAAGAAUGCAGGGGCUCUUCAGCAAACUAAUGACCCGUAAAUAAACGGGUUACACCGUAUCCAUAAAUCCAAAUUUUCAUUCAAAAAAUUGAAACAAAUCCAAACUCAUUUUCUUUGUCAGAAUCACUUGUUCUUCUUCUUCUUUUUCUUCUUCUUCUUCUUGAACUAACCAUGGAAUUGGAAAAUCAAAAUCAGGAUUCAAAUUUUCCAUUCUGGAAACCCAUUUCUCGUAAGUUCCAACCUGAUUCACCUUUCUUCGCUAUCGGUAACCUCGAACGAGAACUUCUUGUCAAACAGGUUCUUAUUUUUAAUCUUCUUUUUUAUUUCAUUCAAACUGUUUCUUGUUUUAUGCUAUUUUUUUUUUUUUUUUAGUUUUUGUUUUGAAAUGAGAAUUGUAACUUGCGUUUUAAUUUGAGAAGGUUGCGUUGGAAUUUGAAUUAACACAAGAGAAGGAACAGCUUGAGGAUUUUAUACAAGAAGAUGGAAGGUAUUGAUGUUUUUUUUCUUCUUCAUAUUCUUAAUUGUAAUAGUAUUUGAAUUUAUAUUCUCGAUUAAUGUGGCUUAUAUGACCUCUCAAUUUCGGUUUUAAAAAAAUACAUUAUGAUUGUGCUCUAGUGGUUAAUAAGCUUCAGUUAAGAACGAAUCGAUCAGAGUAUAAUAUUAAGAGUCCCGUUUUCUCGAGAACUAGAAUAUUAAGAGUUAAGACCAAAAUAAUACUCCCUCCGGUCAUAUUUAUAAGCAACUUUUGCUUUUCCAGAUUCAUUAAAUAACUGAUGUAUCAAGAGUAUAAUACAGUCCAAAUACAUCGUUUGUUUAAUGAAUCGUAAGAAGUAAAUGUUGCUUAUAAAUGUGACCAGAAGGAGUACGCAUUAGAAUAAGGCGUGCUAAUUUAAUGCACUGUUAUUAGGUCCUACUCAAACUUCAGCUGAUGUUUGAUAGAAGUUGUUGAGAUCAUUACCCAUUGAGAACAGUUAAUGAUGGAUUGUUAUUUCUAGUUAUAGUACUUGCUUCUUAGUGAAAGACCUUUCUUAUAGUUCUUGANUGAAUUACAAAUGAAUAUUUAUUUUAGGCUACUGCUGAAAUAACAAUAACCUGAAAAUUGUACUUUAUUUGCAGAUAUUUUCUUCUUUCGGAAUAAGGAAGGAAGCAUAAGCUAUUCUCAGCCUCCGUGUCUUGUUGCAUGGAUGUUAGGAGUGUACUAAAACUACAAAAUUGUGGAAAUUUUUCAAGUGUUUUUCUUUAUGUCCAUACACUAUAAAGUGCAUCGUCUGAAUAUAUUUUAAAUCAAGCUUUCCAGUUUUAUGAAAGCUUCCUGUUUUGUUCAUAAUUUCAAAUAACUAUGUUUGCUUAUAACAUAAUUGUGACCUGACCAUUUUCUAUGAAGUUGAUUGAAGUAGAUAUUUGGUAAAUUUCAUGUUGAAUGAAAUACAGUUGUAAUUUGUUUUCUGUAUUUUAUAAUUAAAGCUAUACUUUGCAAACACCUUCUUCAAUGUUGUUAUUUGUUGAAACUAUAAACUCAAUCCAUCUAUUUGUUCUUAAUUAACUUAGUUUAAAAGUUUCAGGGAACAUGCAGUAGGUCUGUCUAUGCAUGUUUGAGAUCAUUACCCAUUGAGAACAGUUAAUGAUGGAUUGUUAUUUCUAGUUAUAGUACUUGCUUCUUAGUGAAAGACCUUUCUUAUAGUUCUUGAAAAUGUUUACUUUAUAUCUAUAAUCAUUUAUGUGGAAAAACAAAUUUUGAUUGGUGUUACCACAUUGUAUGUUUAAAAUAACGAUGAGUUUGACGAAAUCAUAAUGGCAUCGCGAUUUUGUUGAAGCUCCAAAGUGUAUCUUAUAUCAACAUAACGGUGACAUGUUGUAAUUUUGCCAAACUUACCGCGAAUUCAAACAUGGCCUCAUGUUUAUUGAAGAUUGUGAUUUUUCAUAGAAGUUAAUCUUUGGAUUUGAAUUUAUACUUAUAAAAUGGUAGCAUACACGCCUCAUUUUGAAACAUAUUGCUAUGUGCAGGGAAGUCUUCUGUCCCAUUGCUGGGUGUGGAGCGCGUUUGGCUUCAAUUGAGGAUUUUGAAAAUCACUAUUAUGCAAGACAUACUGCAUCCUGUUCUGUGUGUUCUAGAGUCUACCCCACAUAACGUUUGCUCAGCCUACAUGUAUCCGAAGCUCAUGAUUCUUUCUUUCAGGCAAAAGUUGCUCGUGGCUAUGACAUGGUAGUGUACAUGUCUAAACUCUGAAUAUGAUUUAAUUUAAUGACAUAGUAGUUGUAAGAUAUUCAAUUUCGCGUUUUGUUUCUUCAAAUAUCUUUACAGUGAAGUACUCAUGUUUUUUCCUACCUUAAUUUAAAAUCUUAAAGAUUGCAACAAGAAAGACCUUUUUUACAAUUUGGUCAUUUCAAACAAUGUUCAGAAUAUCUUUUUUCCUUUAUUACAUCCUUUCUGUCUUCUAUUUAAUUUAAUGUUUAGAGCUCAUAGUUGAGUUUGUUAGAAGGUAGAUCAAAGCAAAGAUAGUCCAUUAUUAGUUAGUGGUAAAGCGAAACCAGAGAAAACUAUAAGCCAACCCAUUAAGAAGGAUUUGGAAUCAAAUGUUCAGUCACUAGAGAAUUAAUAAUACACUCAAUCUUUGAUUUCAAAAUCAUUCCAAUAACCUUUCCACAAAAAGAAACGCCCAAACACACCACAUUCCAACAACCCAUGUUAUCUCUACGUAGUAACAAUCACCGUAAUAACUAAUAACAACCCAUGUUAAUGAAUUUCUUUCUUACGUCCUUUUUAUUUACUAUUUUAUUUUAUGUUUAAAGCUCAUAGUUGAGUUUGUCAGAAGGUAGACCAAAUGGAAGAUAGUCCAAUAGUAAGAGGUAAAGGGAAACCAUAGAAAGCUAUAGGUCAAAUCAUUAAGAAGGAUUUCAGAGUAAAUGGUCUAUCGUUAUAGAUAAUUAACGAUAUGGAUAUUAUGAUGUCAUUUGAUUCAUGUAACUAACCCCGAACUGAUGAGAAAAGGCUUUGAUCGCCUCUGUAGUUGUUCUUGUUGUGUAAUCAAAGCUAACUUAUUACUUUUUUGGAUUUACAUAUGAAUUUUCUCUAUUAGGUGACCCAUGACAAUCUCUAUAACAUGGUUCUUAUGUCUUUGUCAUAUAGUAUGAAUGCUUAGUGGAAGGUUGCGGUUUGAAAUUCAAAAGCUACAAAAGUAGGCAGCACCAUCUAGUUGACAAGCAUAAAUUCCCGACGUCAUUCGAGUUUUUCAAGAAGGCUCUUCCUUCAAAGAAACACAGGAUAAAGUCUCAACGCAAAAAGCCUUCUCAAAAGGAGGAUACUUCAGGAAUGAUGGAAGUGGAAAAUGCAGCUAUGGAUGACCUCGUUUCAGCAGUAUCUAGAUUAAAUACUUCAGACACCGCUCCUUCCUCUAUCAGCUUUGGUCGCCGUAACACCAAAGGCAUGUCAUUUGUCCCUCGAGCUGUUCAGCGUGGGAAGGGAUCUAACUCAGGCUCAUCUGUUACUAAGAAAUAAGCUUACACUUGAAUCAA
rnacentral:lncRNA from 1 species